rnacentral:tRNA from 1 species
UGGCUGAGUGGUAAAGCGCUUGGCUUCUUAACCGAGGGUUCCAGGUUCAAAUCCUGG